CCUACGGGCGGCUGCAGUGGGGACUAUUGCUCAAUGGGGGAAACCCUGAUGCCGCGCCGCCGCUUUAUUGAAGACGUAAUUCUUUAUUUAAAGCUCUAUCAGCAGGGAAGAAAAUGACGGUACCUGAGUAAGAAGCCACGGCUAACUACGUGCCAGCAGCCGCGGUAAUACGUAGGGGGCAAGCGUUAUCCGGAUUUACUGGGUGUAAAGGGAGCGUAGAGGGCAGUGCAAGUCUGGAGUGAAAGGCGGGGGCUCAACCCCCGGACUGCUCUGGAAACUGUACGGCUGGAGUGAAGGAGAGGUAAGUGGAAUGCCUGGUGUAGCGGUGAAAUGCGUAGAUAUUAGGAAGAACUCCAGUGGCGAAGGCGGCUUACUGGACUGUAACUGACGUUGAGGCUCGAAAGCGUGGGGAGCAAACAGGAUUAGAUACCCCUGUAGUC
rnacentral:rRNA from 1 species